GAAGUGUUGAUGCCAAAACAAUGAAGAAUACACAUCUCAUUGGUGGCAUUGAAGAGAAGGGAGACAUAGUUGGAGUAACAAAUGUGAAGCUGCUAGAUGCAAGGUUGAAAUUAUUUUUGAGAAACAAGACCAAGUGGCAUGAAGAGGGAAUUAUGAUUCCUGCAAGGAAGAACAAAAGAGGAGAGUGUGUCACUAAAGCAUCAUCCUCACAAGUUCAUCAAGAUGAGGAAGAAGAAGAACAACUACUUCCUCCUAGCUCUGAUUAUUGGAGAGCUGAGUUCUAGAAUGCAACAAGUCAUGAAGCACCCACAGAAGGAUGGAACUAGUAGGAGUGGCAAGAUGCGCUAGUACAAGCCUAGUUAGGAGGCCCUUAUGCACAUCAAGAAUACCAGCAGUCGGCAUAUCAGCCACCACCAUAUU
rnacentral:lncRNA from 1 species